rnacentral:rRNA from 1 species
ACGGCUCAGUAACACGUAGCUAACCUACCCUCAGGACGGAGACAACCCCGGGAAACUGGGGUUAAUCCCCGAUAGGCGUGGAUUCCUGGAAUGGUGUCACGCCGAAACGUUAACACACCAUGUUUGUGUACACGCCUGAGGAUGGGGCUGCGGCCGAUCAGGCAGUUGGUGAGGUAACGGCUCACCAAACCUUUGACCGGUACGGGCCGUGAGAGCGGUAGCCCGGAGAUGGACACUGAGACAAGGGUCCAGGACCUACGGGUCGCAGCCGGUACGAAACCUCCACAAUGCACGCAAGUGCGAUGGGGUUACCUCGAGUGCCGCCUGAAGAAGGCGGCUUUUCCAUUGUGUAAUGAGCCGUGGGAAUAAGGGGGGGGCAAGACUGGUGUCAGCCGCCGCGGUAACACCAGCCCCCCGAGUGGUGGGGAUGUUUAUUUGGCCUAAAACGUCCGUAGCCAGCUAGGUAAAUCUCUCGUUAAAUCCAGCGUCCA